GCAUCCGUAGCUCAGCUGGAUAGAGUACUCGGCUACGUCGGAGGUUCGAAUCCUCCCGGAUGCACCA
rnacentral:tRNA from 1 species